GAUACGUCGGCGGCCGAUGGAAAACUAUUCACGGCUGAGCAGAUUCAAUUCUGCUGUGUAAUAUUAUUACGUGUUCUAAUUCUCACGAUUUCUACAACUCUGAUCCUCGAGUAGAAGGAAAUCGCUGCCUCAAAUUCAAAUUCUGAAUGUUUGUAACUGAGAGAGAGAGAGUUGUUUCUGAGUGGCGCAACCAUCUACGAUUGAAUCUUGCAACAAAGGCAGUGGUGUCGAUUGCUCUUCUACAAACCAUCUGUGAUUUACUAUUGGAAUAAGGGAGGUUUUUAGCUGGUGUGGGUGAUCAAGUGAAGGAGCUCCAGUGGCAGCUCAAAGAGAUGAAGUGUUUCCUCCAAGAUGCUGACAAAAGGCGACAUGAAAGCAGAACCAUCUCCAAUUGGAUCUCUGAGAUCAGAGAUCUCGUCUUCAGAUCCGAAUCCGCCAUUGAAAGACAUGCAGCUUAUCAAGUUUCUUCAAGGAGAAGAGGCCUCAAACAGUCCGUCCGCAGAUAUUCCUGUAUUUUGAAUGAUUGUUACUCACUACACCAAUUAGGCUUCGAGAUUUCACAAAUUACAACAAGUUUGGAGAGGAUAAGCAAGGAUAUGCAAGAAAACGGCAUAACAAGGAGCAUAUUAAUCACAAAUUCAAAUGGAGAGGGGGGGGGGGGAAGCUUGGCUAGGAACAUGUCAAGGAAGACUUCCCCCAAUUUGGAGAUGGGAGAUUGCUUCCUAGGCAUGGAGAAUGAGUUGGAGCAGCUUGUUCAUCAGCUAAGGGAAGACACAGAGGAUCAAAUUAUUUCAGUGUGGGGAAUGGGAGGGUCAGGCAAGACUGCCAUUGCCAAGAAGCUCUACAACGAGAGGACUGACUUAGAUCUUUCGGCUUGGGUUUGCAUCACUCAGCAAUGUGAGAGUCGAUCAGUUUGGGAGAAUGUUUUGAGGCAGCUAGAGAAUCAGAAGAACAAGAAGAAGAGUGUUUCAAGUCUUAAGUAUGAGCCAGUAAUGAGGGAGGAGGUUCCAAGUCUGAGCAACUCCGAGUUGAUUGAGCGACUAUGUGAGUUACAGAGAGACAGGCGAUCUCAUUGUUUUGGAUGAUGUUUGGGAACUUUCAUUGGGAUGAGUUGAAGCAUCCAUUCAUUUCCAAAAUUUGCAGAGCAAAAUCUUGGUGACUACACGGAAACAAAAGGUUGCAGAUAUUGGAUUGUCGGUGAAACUUGGGCUAUUGCAUAUGGAUGCUGCUUUGGAACUACUCAAAAACAAAGCAUUUCACCAUGGCAACAUGCCAGAAAUGUGGGUAUCUGCCGUUGGCAAUUACUUUACUAGGUGGGGUCUUGAGAAAGAAAAAUUCGAUGGUGGAGUGGGAAUUAGUAAAUGAGGAUAUCAAAAAGUCAUACAUAGAGAUGAAAAGCAGAUUGAUGAAGUGCUAAAUUUAAGCUAUGAAAGUCUACCCUAUUAUUUGAAGCCUUGCUUUCUUUGUAUGGGUAUAUUCAACGAGGACGAAACGAUACAUGUUGCAAAUCUAUAAGAUGUGGAUAGCACAAGGCAUGAUUUCAUAUGAAAAUAUUGGAGACAAGGAGGAAACUUUAAUGGACAUUGCUGAGCUGUACUUAAGUGAGUUGGCCUCCAGGUCCAUCGUUCAAGUUGAAAUUCAGUAUACUUAUGAUGACGGCGCAAAUAGAACUGGAAAAUAUUAUAGAUGCAAACUUCAUGACGCAGUACGAGAACUAUGUUUGAAAUUGGGGAAAAGGGAGGAUUUUGGAGCGCUGAGUUUGGAGUAUCAUGGUGGGAAACUUAGUACCUUACUACGGGAAGCUUCCAUGCAUAUGAAAAUACAACAUUUGGCUAUUCAUUUCGUUAGUGGAGUUGAACAUGAGUCUACAAUCGCUUGUGGAGAAGAUACUAGCAAGCAUAUAAGGUCUCUUCAAUUAUGCGAUCUCACAGAUUCGAAUAUUGAGUUCUCCCCACAAAGUAUAGUUGAAUUUCAGAAAUUCAAAUUGUUGAGAGAUCUAGUUAUCGUGGGAUUCAAAUUUGUAGGAUGAAAGUUACCAAGAGGUAUCACUAGUCUUGUUCACCUUAGAUUUUUCCGUUUAGAAGAAUGUGAACUUGAUAAGCUACCAUCAUCCAUCAGGAAUUUGGUAUACAUGGACACCCUUGAUUUAAUGCUUUCAGAGAAUGUUGAAGUUCCAAAUGUUCUUAAGGA